AAAGAUUCCAUUUUGUCCAUUUUUCAACUAUUUAUCAUCUCCCGAUAAUAAGGGCCAUUAUAGGUAGCCAAUCCUCCUUCAUCUUGCCUCCUGCUUUCCUCCGUGAAUCUCCACCAGUGACCGAUCAAGGAAUUUAACAAUGCAAAUGGCAACUUCUCUAUGCUUCUUCACUCUUCUGCUGUUCCUUGAGACCAUCUCUUUCUUUCACCUCCAGGUGAUUGCUGCAGCACCAGAUUCCAAGCCGAAGCUUAAUUCUAGGAUCCUUCAGGACUCGAUAAUUAAAAAGAUCAAUGAAGACCCCAAUGCUGGAUGGGAAGCUGCCAUGAAUCCUCAAUUUUCCAAUUACACUGUUGGUCAAUUCAAGUAUAUCCUUGGAGUCAAGCCAACUCCCAAAAAAGAAUUGAGUGGUGUUCCUGUUAUGAGUCAUCCAAAAUCCUUAAAGUUGCCAAAAGAAUUUGAUGCAAGAAAAGCUUGGCGGCAAUGUAGCACCAUUGGAAGAAUUCUAGAUCAGGGUCAUUGUGGAUCUUGUUGGGCGUUUGGUGCUGUUGAAUCACUAUCUGAUCGCUUUUGCAUCCAUUUUGACCUGAACAUAUCUUUGUCUGUCAAUGAUCUCUUGGCAUGCUGUGGUUUUUUGUGUGGAGAUGGUUGUAAUGGAGGGUAUCCAAUCUAUGCAUGGAGAUACUUUGUCCACCAUGGUGUUGUCACAGAAGAGUGUGACCCAUACUUCGAUGAUAUUGGCUGUUCCCACCCGGGUUGUACCCCUGAAUUUCCUACUCCAAAGUGUGUAAGAAAGUGCAUCAACAAGAACCAGCUCUGGAGACGGUCAAAGCAUUACGGUGUCAAUGCAUAUAGAAUUAGUUCUGAUCCUCACGAUAUUAUGGCAGAAGUUUAUAAAAAUGGACCAGUAGAGGUUGAUUUCACUGUUUAUGAGGUAAAAUAUGCACUUGAUGGAUUCUUCUUUGCUUGCAUUUGCUGCGCUGCUUCAAGUAUAAGUUUGCUUCUUUGGCUGUUCCCGCCUUAAUUUAUUGUGCUGAAGAAAUCAUGAGGUAGUGCUUCACACACAGGAACAGCCUUGAUGAGAGUUUACAAUUUUUUGACUGCUGGAAUAUCUGUCCUUUUUAAUACGUACUUCACUUUUGAUUUAUGCUUGAUGAAAGCUGAUAAUUACAAAUUAGUAACUUGCUCAUUGCAUGAAAUGUUUUCUUUACCAUUUUACAGGACUUUGCUCACUAUAGAUCUGGAGUUUAUAAGCACAUUACUGGUAAUGUAAUGGGAGGCCAUGCAGUUAAGCUUAUUGGGUGGGGGACUUCUGAUGAUGGAGAGGAUUAUUGGCUUCUUGCGAACCAGUGGAAUAGAGGCUGGGGCGAUGACGGUUACUUCAAGAUGAGGAGAGGAAAAAAUGAGUGUGGCAUUGAAGGGAACGUGGUUGCUGGUUUGCCUUCAGCCAGAAAUGUUCAUCUUGUUAGAGAGGUUGCUGGCGUGGAUGCUCUUGGGGAUGUAUCUGCUUGAUAGAAUAUCAAUAUACCACAAGUUCUGUAAUUUAUGCUUUGCAGAGAUAAAUUAUGGACAUUUAUCCGGAAUAGAGAGAAACCAGAUUACAAAUCCAUGUUACAUUAUUUUUUGUAUCAACAAGACAUUUAUUGUUCAUGUAAGAAGGGCAGUUUGUAAAAUAUUGUAUGGCUCAUUCUUCACAUGUCUAAUGUAUGAUUGUUGUUAGUAUCAACAAGACAUUUAUUAUUGUUCAUGUAAGAAGGGCAGUUUGUAAAAUAUUGUAUGGCUCAUUCUUCACAUGUCUAAUGUAUGAUUGUUGUUAGUAUCAACAAGACAUUUA
rnacentral:misc_RNA from 1 species